UAUUAUUUAAAUUGUUAAUUACUUGCUUGAGUAGUAUUAGUUAAAUUCUUGAAACUCAAAGAAUUUGGCGGUAUCUUAGUCUUUUCAGAGGAAUCUGUCCUUUAAUGGAUAUUACACAUUUUAUGUCACUUGAUUUUGUAUUCAGUUUGUAUAUCGUCGUCAUAAGAUUAUCUUUUUAGAGGUAGAAUUUUCAAUAAAUUUAUUAUAUAAGAUGACAGAUCAAGGUGCAGCUUAUAUUCAAGGAGAGAUGGAUUACAAUAAAAUGAUUUAUUACGAAUUUUUAAAUAAUAUAAAUUAAGAUGAAGGUGGAUUUGAAGGUAAUUCUAUUAUAUUAUAUUAUUAUGAUUUAGCUCUAAGGUGUGCACAAAUCGCCCGUCGCUCUCAUUAUAAUUGAG
rnacentral:rRNA from 1 species